UAACACCCCUAGACACACUAGUAGAAAACUUAUAUGCACCAUCAAUAUUCAUUUUAUAUUCCUUGAGAGGUUGCUUAUGAUACUGUUAUCAGCUAAAUUCUUUUUUGUUGUGGUAAAAACAUUUUUUCAAUCUCUUUCAAUUUUAACAUUGAGCAAAUUGGUCUUAGUUAAAGCAAUUAAUUCUUAUCAAUUUCAAUAAUGAACAAUUAAGGACAGUUACAGGUUAAUGCUUUUCAUCAAAUUAACAUAAAUUAGAUUGAUAUAAUAUAAAUUUAACUCUUAAUAAUUUAGGCAUCCUAUCAAUUUGAUCCUAAUUUAAUAGAUUUAACCCAUAUUAUUUUUGUAAAUGUGUAAAUAUUGAGAUUAAAUUUAUUAAAUUUUAAGAAUCAAUAUCAAAUUAACAAAAUAUAUAAACAUUUAAGACUAAAUUUAUUAUACCAAUAAUAAAUAUGAACAAUUGAGGAAAAAUAUUAAUAUUGUUGUCCAUGAUUGCUCACUUUUAAAAUUGAUAACUUAAUUUUUUUUGAAAAGGAUCAAUUUGCUCAAUAUCUAAAUUGACAGGGACUGUAGAGGUGUUUUUACCGUGUUCUUUUUUCUUCUCUUUCUUCUUCAUGAAUUCAAUUGUUUCAAGACCCGGAUCCAGACCCUCACCCCAACAGGAAAAACAAGACCCGUCGCAGUCAAUUGUUUCAUUGAUGUUUCAUCGUUAUCAAUGAUGAUAACAUACACCGGCUUUCUCUUCGCGUUCACCUAUCCAGUCGCAGAAGCCAUUUCUGAAUCGAAGAUUUGGUUUGUCAAAAACCCUAGCCCCUCCUCCUUUGGCUCCUGACCCGAAACAAAAGGGAAAUUUUAAGCACACACAUUUUUUUUUCCGUUUUGGUAAGUUGUAAUGGGGAUUUGAUUUCACAGUUUUUUCUAUUAUUAAAUUUUUUUCACUUUUUUUUUUCAACGGUUCAGAUUUUAAAAUAUUAGAUCCAAUGGCUCUUUUUGUUUGAAGGGAUGCAAUUAUUUAGUCCUUCUUGCACGAGCUAACCCUAGAAUUUUCUUUAUAUAUACGAUCCUCUUUUCUCUGGCCGCAAACAAGCCCCUGGCUUCAAGUUCCCUAUAGAUCUGGAAAUUGAAUAAGAGUAUAGGUGGGUUGUAAACGAAGCAAUGAAUCGCGGUCAAUACCCACAAUUAGUGAUGCUGCUCAGUAUUCUAAUACUGGUCCUACUGUCUUAGUUUGCGUCUUGUCUUUUGAACUGGAUUUGCCGACUUAAACUGCGUCGUUGAAGGUUUCCAAAACCCGAGCCUGCAAAUCCAGUCAAAAGUUAAAACCGGGCUGAGAUUUACGAGUCUGAUAUAUAUGGGAGGUAUUAUGUGUUAAAACUAAUUCAGGUAAGCUGCUUCUUUUUCUGGUAUAUGUAUAUGUAUAUAUGUGUGUGUGUGUGUGUGAAAAUAUUUGCUAUAGUGGAUAUUUGUACAGCCUUUAUUGAAGUUGAACAUUAUCCUGCUAACAGGACUUGUAAUAAUUAAUGAGCUUGCAAGAUGUGAGCAUGAUAGUGUAUUUGAGAGUUUAGCUAGAGUUCUUUCCUAGUGCUAUAUAUAAUCUGAAUAUUUAUUAGUAGUGCUUUUUAUAUAUAAUUAGUUUGUAUUUGUAAUUGAUCAAAUCUAUAUUGGCUUGUUCGAGAACGAGCAAUCCAUGGCCACGUUUCAUAUUUAUUGAUCCACACAAGUUCAAGCUCCAACUAGUGAUUUAACCUUAAUAAAAACCAUAAAAAUAUGCAAAUCCAGUUCAAAAGAAGCGAAGUGCCAAGCACAUUCCUGACUCAAUCUCACUCACAGGUAUGGUUUUUAAGGAAGUACCACAUGUUGAUUAAUAACUUUUAUUGAUGUGCUUGAGACUGCUUGGGGAAUUCCAUACAUGUAAGAGUGUCAUGUACAUGUAGGAAUUAUGUGCGUAUCAGAACUUGCAUAAAGUAGAGCUUGUCCGUCAUCCCUUUAAUUUCUUUGACGGGCAGUUUAUUUCAUCUCUCGCAAACUAUAAACUGAUACGACCAUUAAUAUUCAUUUCUUUUAUUAAUUCUCUGGGUUACAGGUAAAGAUCAUACUAUAUAUAUAUAUAUAUAUAUAUAUAUUGGCCAGAAAUGUUUGUACUUUCUUUUUAAGCAAAUUUUGAACUUGGAUUAUUUUACCUGAACAUCAAUAAGCAGACAGAAAUGGUUGGAACUUAAAUAUUUUGAUUUUUAUGUCUUAUGAUCCUUUCAUGUCCUUUUUUAUGAUUCUUAGAUUGUACAUUCGUUCAAGGAAUACAUGGAGGAUUUUAAUGAAUUGGAAUGAAAUAAAGAUGCGCGCAAUUGUAGAAAUAUCAUAAUGUUGUUUCAACAUUGUUUGAUCGAUUCCACUUGUUUGUAAGAGGCCAAAUAAAAACAAUAAAUAUUAGACAAAUACACACACAAAUGUCCUGAGUAGGAAAGCUGUAAAUUUCUAAUUCUCUGUCUAAUGCUGUGUACUUCCCUACUUAUUUGCAGGGUCAUCAUGAUGCUGAUGCUGUUGCUCUGUAUAUGAAAGACUAUUGGUGGUGGUUUUGAAUUCUGUAAUCGGUCAGACGACAAGAUAUAUGAUGAUUUGGGUGAAGGCACCAGUGGUGCUAUAGCAAAUCCACACAAUAUGGAACUGUCACAAGAGAACACCUUUACUGUUGAUCCUGUUCUUCCGUCACUGCUGUGUUCUUCUGAUAUGGAAAACUUUGGUUAUUUUGGACUCUGUGAUCUGUCAGACAAUGAGAUAUGUGGUCAUUCGGGUGAAGGCACCAGUGAAGGCACCAGUGAUGCCAGAGAACACCUGUACCGUUCAAGGGUGUGCAGAUAUUCAGAACUCAUUACCUGCCGUAGCUGAAGUUCACCACAACCCAGUAAUGCAUGGCCUCACAAAGAAGUCGGCCGAGGCAAAGGGCAAGAGAUCGGUCGAAGAGAUAAAGGACGAAGCUUAUAUCAAAAAAGGCAAAAUGAAGGUGGUGAAUGACAACUGAUUCAAAAGAAAAUCGACUGAUGUUGCUGAAGAAACCAAGGUUUAUAUAAUUGCUUAUUUUCUUUUCAAAAGAUUAUGACUUUUAAAUGAAGUCCCAAUGUGUUUAUUGGGAUGUUGAUGAACUGAAGAUACAAAGGUGUGUUUUUGUGUGACGGUUUGUGUGUGAAUUUUCUGUUUAUUAUCAGGAGUCUUCAGUAUUGUGAACUCCAUGCUCCUCGUAUGGAUUUUUUUUCUUCUUCGAACUGGAUUAUUUUCAUUAAGAGUUCAAUAUGUAUGUCAUGGUUAUGUUAGAUA